rnacentral:misc_RNA from 1 species
UUUCCGUAGGUGAACCUGCGGAAGAAUCAUUCAUAAUAAAGUGUUUUAUGGCACUUUUUAAAAAUCCAUAUCCACCUUGUGUGCAAUGUUAGAUCUCGUCAAUCUUGGCGAGAUUUUUAUACAUCAACUCAUUCUUUAACUAAUUUGUCUGAAAAAUAUUAUGAAUACUUAAUUCAAAAUACAACUUUCAACAACGGAUCUCUUGGCUCCC